rnacentral:lncRNA from 1 species
UUCUCUCUCCCUCCUAUUUUGCCAUGCUAUGUUGGAGUUAUCACCGGCGAGCGAGCUUUAGCUGAACUCCACCCCUACCACACUUCUUUUUCCUUUCUUUUCUGUUCCCUCACCACCGUCGGCUCGCCGGAAGUGUUGACCUGCGAGCUCAAAUGCACCACCAUCGCUGCUACUCGUCCCUAUUCCCAUCUUCCCUUUUUCCAAUGUUUAGUCAAAACUGGCCAGAUCGAGCCAUGUUUAUGCUUUUCCGCCAUUGCUCCGGCAUUUAUUGUAGAAGUAACGCCUCCCUUUCACUAUUGUUACAACCAGAUCUAGCCAAGAAAUAUUUUUCUCUAAUGAAAUCUAUUAGCUUGUAUACUCUCAUCUCUUUAUUUUAUUCUAUCUCGAUAUUAUCAUAGUGUAAACAGACUACGUUUGUUCAUUUCUAUUUUUUUAUGUGUUUGUUCUAAGAUAGAUCUUCUCAAAACUUGCAUUAUUUUGCGAAUUUUGGAUUAUUUUGAUGAAACUCUGAUGACCUCUGAGGUAGCUUUCUUUCAUAAUUUUUUCACUUUUUCUU